UUAAAGGUUCCUACUCCCACUUAUUUUCUUUCCCAAAACGCAGAUGAAAAAGAAAAGAAAGGAGAACCCCUGCUCUGCUAGGGUUUGGCUCAUUGCGCAGCCACUAAACCUCCAUUAACUUGAUGGCCAAUGGCGCGAACGACGGCCAGAUCUGGUACACGCCCAUGGAGGUAAGCUCUUUCCUUUUCUUUUUCUUCUUAAGAAAACUCAAGUCAUGCAUUAUUCCUUUUAAAAACAAAGCAUAAAUUCAAAAGCAUCAAAACAUUCGACCCUCGCCCGAAUCUCUGUAUUUUCGAGAAGUUUUUGGCCUUUCAUCAGUGUCGAUUCACAUGUUAAAAAAGAAAUCAAGCCAAUGAAAAGAAAAAAUAAAUCGAAAGAAAAAGGGACAAAGAAGCUUGAAAUCACCUUUACUAUUUUGAUUUCUUUUUCUCUGUUCUAUAUGCGUGUGUUGCGUAAAAAAAAAGGAAGACCCUUACAAUCGCUGUAUUCUUGGCUUUAUAGUCGAAACAGAAAAAGAAUAAAACAAAAUGCAAUGUUUCUCUUUCUUUUUUUGCUGCUGUUGUGUUCGUCCUUUUACAGGUACGGGGUAUGCUGGCGCUUGGCGUGGGGCGUACGGGAGUUGUGCGCUGGGGGCUGCUGAGGCGUACAGAGGUAGUUGGUGCGUCGUACGGUGCGAGGGUUGGGGCUUGGCUGCGGCACGAGGGAGAGGGCCCUAGGGUUUCUGAAACCUUGACAUUUUGGGCUUUUCGGGCCUGAUCUUGCAGUUGGGCCACAAGUUUUUGUAAUUGGAUUGUAAACUGGAUUGUUAUGAUUUGAAUUUUUUGGUCUUGUAUUUGGGUUAGAUUUUGGUUAAGUUUAAUAUUGGACUUUUAUUUUUUGUUUUGUUUUGUUUUUUUUUUUGGGUUUCUAAUGGGUCGGGUAAAAAUGGCCCAUUACAGUUAGUUCUAAGCAUUGUUUCAAAAAAAUACUAUAUAUAAUCAGAACUUAUAAUGAGAUUAUUAAAAGAAAUCUAUAAAUAAGUUUAAUAAAUUUUGUAAGUCCUUUAUUUAUUAA
rnacentral:lncRNA from 1 species